rnacentral:lncRNA from 1 species
AUGAACUGUCUGGUAAUAUGCAAAGGAGGCUCUAAGGUAAAUUUGGUAUUCUCUCUCUCUUUCUUUUCCACAGCUGGAGUGAAUGCUGCUUCAUCUGGUUGCUUCAUAGCAGUUUUUGCUGCUGCUGCUGUCAUUUUACACGGGAAAAUGAGCUCUGCAACAACUGCUGACUUUGAAGAGAGCUCUGCACGGUGUGGAUGUGAGACGACACCUUUCUCAAAGCAAAGAACUGCCCCUGUGAACUGCCCGAGGACCUGUGUGCUGUGUAAAAGCAUCAUAAACUGCCUAUGACCAAGUUCGGCCUUAGUGAUGACGUCGAGCUGCUUUUCCUUACCUGUUUCUCAGCUCAGAAGGUGAACUCGUUGCUCCCUCUUGUGGUAUUUGUAAAAAUGUGAAAAAAGUUUGGGAAAAAAACUGCCUAUAAUGCUGAGAAAGUUAAGAGUAUGUUUUCCUCAUCAUCUUGUGAUGAGUUAAAUGAGAACUUUGACAUCAGCUCAAAUGGCAUGAAAGUAAAAGAUUUUACGAGAUCAGAACACAGCUCUUAGCAAACAUAUAUUUUUUUAAAUCUGUAUUGUAGCAUUCAAACAGCCAGGGAAGCCAGGGAAAGCAGAAGGAUGAAAUACAGUUACAUAUAUGCUCUGAUCUUUUAUUUUUAUUUUUUAUUUUUUUAUAUGCAGGGGAAGGAACAGCUUAGGGCUAUUUGUCUAAUGCUGCCUAAAAUUGUUUGUGGUACCUUUAUGCCAUUUGGUAUAUUUUUCCAUCUUGUAUUGUUGAGUGUUCUGCAGGUCUGCGAUUCACAAGCAGAAAAUGCCUCCCUUCUGUGCCUUAUUAGCUUUCUUGACCUUAGAGCGUACAAAGCACUUAGAGGUCCAUAGAUCCUUCGCCA